CCCAGAGUGUAGGUAUCCCUUCCCCCAAACAUGAGCCAAGGCUUAAUGCUGGAACAAGACUAAUUUACUGGCACACAGAACUCACAAUUUAUGCAACACAAAACUCCUCCUCUGGGCCAGGCUAGAUAAUUGAGUUUCUACAAUACACAAAGCUCAAUUAUCUGCUGGCCAGAAAUAAUACAGUUUAAUGCAGAUUCUGCAGACUAUAUACAGGCUAAAUGAAAAACAAUCACUUUAUAAUGUGUCCCCUGCUG